GACGAACGCUGGCGGCGUGCUUAACACAUGCGAGUCGAACGGAAAGGCCCUGCUUUUGUGGGGUGCUCGAGUGGCGAACGGGUGAGUAACACGUGAGUAACCUGCCCUUGACUUUGGGAUAACUUCAGGAAACUGGGGCUAAUACCGGAUAGGAGCUCCUGCUGCAUGGUGGGGGUUGGAAAGUUUCGGCGGUUGGGGAUGGACUCGCGGCUUAUCAGCUUGUUGGUGGGGUAGUGGCUUACCAAGGCUUUGACGGGUAGCCGGCCUGAGAGGGUGACCGGCCACAUUGGGACUGAGAUACGGCCCAGACUCCUACGGGGGGCAGCAGGGGGGAAUAUUGCACAAUGGGGGGGAGCCUGAUGCAGCAACGCCGCGUGCGGGAAGACGGCCUUCGGGUUGUGAACCGCUUUCGCCUGUGACGAAGCGGGGGUGACGGUAAUGGGUAAAGAAGCACCGGCUAACUACGUG
rnacentral:rRNA from 1 species